rnacentral:rRNA from 1 species
GCAAAACGCGAAGAACCUUACCUAGGCUUGACAUGCAUCUCUAAGCGCGUGAGAGCGCGUGACCCUUCGGGGGAUUUGCACAGGUGCUGCAUGGCCGUCGUCAGCUCGUGUCGUGAGAUGUUGGGUUAAGUCCCGCAACGAGCGCAACCCUUGUGAACAGUUGCCAGCACUUAAGGUGGGAACUCUGUUCAGACUGCCCAGAUCAACUGGGAGGAAGGUGGGGACGACGUCAGGUCAGUAUGGCCCUUACGCCUAGGGCUGCACACGUACUACAAUGCCCAGCACAAUGAGAACCGAGACCGCGAGGUGGAGGAAAUCUAAAAAACUGGGCCCAGUUCGGAUUGGAGGCUGCAACUCGCCUCCAUGAAGUUGGAAUCGCUAGUAAUGGCACAUCAGCUACGGUGCCGUGAAUACGUUCCCGGGUCUUGUACACACCG